GAUGAACGCUGGCGGCGUGCCUAAUACAUGCAAGUCGAGCGAACAGAUAAGGAGCUUGCUCCUUUGACGUUAGCGGCGGACGGGUGAGUAACACGUGGGUAACCUACCUAUAAGACUGGGAUAACUUCGGGAAACCGGAGCUAAUACCGGAUAACAUUUAGAACCGCAUGGUUCUAAAGUGAAAGAUGGUUUUGCUAUCACUUAUAGAUGGACCCGCGCCGUAUUAGCUAGUUGGUACGGUAACGGCUUACCAAGGCGACGAUACGUAGCCGACCUGAGAGGGUGAUCGGCCACACUGGAACUGAGACACGGUCCAGACUCCUACGGGAGGCAGCAGUAGGGAAUCUGCCGCAAUGGGCGAAAGCCUGACGGAGCAACGCCGCGUGAGUGAUGAAGGGGUUCGGCUCGUAAAACUCUGUUAUUAGGGAAGAACAAAUGUGGAAGUAACUGUGCACAUCUUGACGGUACCUAAUCAGAAAGCCACGGCUAACUACGUG
rnacentral:rRNA from 1 species